rnacentral:rRNA from 1 species
UACGUAGGGUGCGAGCGUUGCCCGGAUUUAUUGGGCGUAAAGGGCGCGUAGGCGGCCACGCACGUCCGUUGUGAAAUCGCCCGGCUCAACUGGGCGGGGUCAGCGGAUACGGCGCGGCUGGAGCAAGCUAGGGGGCAAUGGAAUUCCCGGUGUAGUGGUGGAAUGCGUAGAUAUCUGGAGGAACACCGGUGGCGAAGGCGGCAUCCUGGACCGACACUGACGCUGAGGAGCGAAAGCCAGGGGAGCAAACGGG